rnacentral:lncRNA from 10 species
CGGGGCCGCGGGGCCUGGAAGCAGCCUCCGGGAUCUGCAAGUCUGGAAAGGCCACGUUGUGGACCUUGGCGCAGAGGUUAUGGGGGCGACCCGGAGCGGAUGGUUUCAGGAAAACUAGAACCCACCCUCAUGGCCUGAACAACUGGAGAGAAGAGGAUCGCAGCAAUUUAAAGCCAGCGGCAAGGAUCACAGUCCUGGGGUCAGGUGACCAAAGCCAGUUUUUCAGCCCUUAACAAGAACCUGGCUUCACCCAGCCAAACAUGAGUUAACGUAUCCAUUUUACACACGAACAAACUGAGGCGCAGAGAUGAUCACAGCUUGUUGGUGGCAAACUCCGCUAGGGCCUUCUCUGCUACCCUAAGGAGGUCCGACCGUAUGUUUUGGACCCCUUAACUCGGGAUACCGAUAAACGAAAAUUAAUAGGGUGUUGGAUGUUUUAAAUGUGUGCGGGAAUGUCAUUAUAUUGGCUAGAAUCAAACCUUAUUUAGACUUGUUUUGCACUUUUGUACACUUUAGUAAUUUUUAGUUUUAAUCAUAAGGGAGUUAAAGGCGAACACAACUGGUAUUUUUUUUUUUUUUUUUUUUUUUUUGAGACAGGGUCUCGCUCGGUCACCCAGGCUGGAGUGUAAUGCUGCGAUCUCGGCUCACUGCAACGUCCGCCUCCCGGGUUCAAGAGAUUCUCCUGCCUCAGCCUCCCGAAUAGCUGGGCGUGCCACCACGCCCGGCUGAUUUUUGUAUUUUUAGUAGAGACGGGGUUUCACCAUGUUGGCCAGGUUGGUCUCGAACUCCUGACCUCAAAUGAUCCGCCCGCCUUGGCCUCCCAGAAUGCUGGGAUUACAGGCGUGAGCCACCGCGCCAGGCCGACAACUGGUAUCUUAAGGCUUAGGGCCUCUGGUAGAAGUGAGCUCCACCUCCCUUCCUGUGUAGAAGGUAAAUGCAUUCAUUCAUUCAGUGAAUCGAGCAUGCAUGAAAUCGUUUGCGCACACCCAGAAGCCCACCUGCGAGCCACAGGAGCAGCCAUUCCAGGAAGCCAAGCUAUAAUGGGAGACGCAAGGAAUGGAGGCGGAACUCCUGUUUUUAAGUCCUAGCUCCAACACUAGCCUUGUCAGCCUGUAAUUCUGAAUUACUGGGCGCCUCUGAGGCUUCUUGUCUCAUCUGCAAAUCAGGAACAACGGCAUAGAGUGGUGAAUGCAUCAAGUGGGAUGAUGUCUGCAAGGGAGCUGCGUGGGGACAAACUGUUCGGGCCCAACGCGCGGGUCUGAGAGACAGCCACGCCUGCUCCGGGUCACUCCGGCCACCUGGGGGGCGUCGGCGCGCAGACUCUGGCCAGUUCAGUAUUCAAACUCUUCAGGAGUGCUAACUUACUCAUGACAGCGAUUUUCUGUAUCGGGGUUUCAUUGGUCGGUGGUUUAGAAGGUUUUGCUCAUUCAUUCGUUAAUGUAAUUCCAACAACCUACACGUGUUUAUAAGCCCCCUUUCCAUCCACGACUUUGCUGUCUGACACAAAACGGACCAUCGCAGCCCGGCAGACGCUUUAGACAACAAACAGCAUGCCUGGAGCUUUUCAAUAGGAAGCAGUAAGGCUUGAUCAUCACAGACGAUACGGAACGGGCACUUUCUUAGCAGAAAAUAUUUCUAUUGGGGCGUGAAGGAAGUUUCUGAAAGGGAAGAUUAUUAUAAGAUAAGGGGUUUGCUCAUCUCAGACUUUAGUGUGCCUGCUUUAAAGUGUUUUGCAAACUUGAAUGUUUAAAGGAAUCACCUGGCGGUCUUGUGAAACUGCAGCUUCUAAUGGGCAAGUCAGAGGGGAAGCCUGAGACAUGGCAUUUCCAGCACGUUCGGGGAGUGAAGAUGCUGUCGGCUGCCACCCUCCCUGCAAGGAGCCAGGGGAUAGAUGACCUCUACGCAAACUCUCCCCUCAAUGGGAAGUAGAAUCUCUUUCUCCACCUCUUCAAUAUGGCUGGCCCUGGAACUUCCCUUGGCACACAGAAUGCAGCAGAAUUGGCUUCAUGUUGUUUCUAAGCCUUGGCCUCAGAGGCCUUGCAUGCUUCCUAACCCUGGCUCUAGGAAACUUGCUGCUGUCAUGUAAGCAAGCCCAGGCUAACCUACUGAAUGUUGGUGUGUCCCAGUCAAAUCCAGCACUGCAACCAAUAGCCAGGCAGCCACCAGACAUGUGAGUGGGGCCACCUCACACCAGCCAACCUCCACCAAGUCAUCAGAUGUAUGAGUGAGAACAGCCCAGAACAACUGAGCCCGUCCAGACCAGCGGAACAACCAAGCUGACCAGUAGACUUAGGAGCAGUAAACAGAUGAUUGUUAUGGAAGCCAUUCUGUUUAGGGUGUGUGUGUUAUUGCUUGCAUCCAAAUACAUCCUAUCUCAUCUAAUGAGAAAAGGCCCUGCUCAAGGGCUUUUGCAGCUGUAGUUGGGCGCCGGAAGUGUCUUUGUGGUCAUUUCUUACUCCAUACACGGGGAGAUCAAGGCUCAGACCAGGUAGUGUGACUGUGGACAACACUUUCCUUACCCCUCUGUGACACUUAAAUCAAUGAAGCAGAUUCACAGAAGCAUGCAUGCUCACUGAACACAGUAUUUGCAUUCCUACCUCCAAACCUUUGCUCCACCCAUGCAUCCAGUAAGAAUGCCUACUUCCCUCCUCUCCUCCAUCGAGUUCUUUCUUUGAGUUCUACCUUCCCUAGUCUUCCUCCACUGCACCAACCCACGGUGAUCCCUGUCUCUUCCAAAUGCUUUGUAACAUGGUAGGCAUCACUCACUUGUGACUCAUUGGACCAUUUUAAAACUUGGUUUUCUGUGUCUCUUUUCCAACAAAAUUACAAAUUCUUUGAGGGUAAAAGUCAGGCCUAAUAGUUCUCUGUACUCCUAGUAGUGCCAGUGUGGUAAAAAUUUAACUUGACAAUUAGCAAAACCAAUAAAUUCCUUACACUAUUCUGUUCCUGUAGGUAAUCAGUAUAUGAAUAUGGAUUCCUAUGUGAUGAUUUUCUGGUCUAUUUUGUCCCUUUUUUUUUUUUGUUACUUUAACCAGGCCAUAACAUAAAGGUUAUGCCAUUUGUUACUGUCAAGCUUAAUUAAGCCCAUUAUAAUUCGUUAACCCCUGUGCUUGCUUUGUAAUUAACAUUGAUUAACACAAACAAGUACAAAAUAGGCCAUCAGCACUUUCCAGAAGUGCUGAUUACAAUUACAUUGGUAAUUCAAUACGGUAUAGAAGAUGGCAGGAUAGUAACUUGCACUCUGUUUACAUAAGGAGACAAAUGCUACCAUGCAAAACUAAGCCAAGAAACAAAAUACUUUCCUCAUCCAACUCACUGAUUAAACCCUUACCCUGUUAACUCACCCUAUGACUGUGUAAACCUCCAGUAAGAUUAUUGAAGGCACAGCUCCAAGUAACUUGCUUAAUUGCAUUCCUGGGACAAAAGAGGGAAGCGCUUCAAAGCUGACAGACAGAUGGUAGAGUGUCCAGUCACAGCAAAGCAGGCCCCGAGGCUCAUGACAGACAACUCCAGGGCUGAGAUCUCAUUUGUAGCUCUGGGAUAAAGUCCAGGGUUUGAUGGCAGCAGGCUGAAGUGUAAAGAUGCUCAACAAUGCGCACCCCAGAGACACUGAAUCUGAAAAAGCUUAGAGUGAAUAAAAAUCUGGAAAUGAACUCUGUCUGUCUAUUCACCAUUCCCCCCAUAAAAAAAUUCCUAUAUUCCGGAUGGUGUUCAAGUUCCCUUUCCACAGGACCUCAGCAGUCAGGGAGGUGCUCCUGCAAUCUAUGUGAAGGAGAUUUCACCAUGCCCACAUGGGAAUACAGUAGAUUGCCAGUAGGGAUGCCACACCUUUGCAUUUCCUCGUAUUUCCAGGAACAAAGCUGGGGUGCCUAGGAGCUGCAGCAGUUUUUCUUCUGUGUAAAAUAAGCAAGCAGGACUCUGCCCCACUGCACUCCAGGGAAGGAUUAAGAGAAUUGAUAUCAUCCAAAUCAAUUGGCCCUGUGCAGAUGACUUGAUAAUGAGGCCAUUGAGUUUUUAUGGUUCACUAUUAUUGCUACAAAAAUUAUGCUGCAGAAAUCAUUCAAAUGCUCAAAAAGGAGCAUUAGUACGAAACUGGGUGUUCCAAAGUUGUUGCUGAGAGGUGUGUAAUGUUCCUGAAGAUCCCCAAGGCACUAAGACUUCUCUGUACAUGAAUGACUCAUAGAGAAGAAAUACACCAGAUGAAAAUAUAUGGAGAAGUUUGCCGAAUGUCAUAUAACUU